UACAGAGGGUGCGAGCGUUAAUCGGAAUUACUGGGCGUAAAGCGUGCGUAGGCGGUUCGCUGUGUCCGAUGUGAAAGCCCCGGGCUUAACCUGGGAAUGGCAUUGGAAACUGGCGGGCUUGAGUGUGGCAGAGGGGGGUGGAAUUCCGCGUGUAGCAGUGAAAUGCGUAGAGAUGCGGAGGAACACCGAUGGCGAAGGCAGCCCCCUGGGUUAACACUGACGCUCAGGCACGAAAGCGUGGGGAGCAAACAGG
rnacentral:rRNA from 1 species